rnacentral:rRNA from 1 species
UACGGGGGGAGCAAGCGUUGUUCGGAUUUACUGGGCGUAAAGGGCGCGUAGGCGGCCACCGCAAGACGACUGUGAAAUCUCCGGGCUUAACCCGGAAAGGUCAGCCGAUACUGCGGGGCUAGAGUGCAGAAGGGGCAACUGGAAUUCUCGGUGUAGCGGUGAAAUGCGUAGAUAUCGAGAGGAACACCUGCGGCGAAGGCGGGUUGCUGGGCUGACACUGACGCUGAGGCGCGAAAGCUAGGGGAGCGAACGGG